CCUACGGGAGGCAGCAGUGAGGAAUAUUGGUCAAUGGGCGAGAGCCUGAACCAGCCAAGUCGCGUGAAGGAUGACGGCCCUACGGGUUGUAAACUUCUUUUGUCAGGGAGCAAUUGGGUCCACGCGUGGGCUUAGCGAGAGUACCUGAAGAAAAAGAAUCGGCUAACCCCGUGCAACCAGCGGCGGUAAUACGGGGGAUGCGAGCGUUAUCCGGAUUUAUUGGGUUUAAAGGGUGCGUAGGCGGAAUAUCAAGUCGGCGGUAAAAAUUCGGGGCUCAACCCCGUCGUGCCGUUGAAACUGAUGUUCUGGAGUGGGCGAGAAGUAUGCGGAAUGCGUGGUGUAGCGGUGAAAUGCAUAGAUAGCGCGCAGAACUCCGAUUGCGAAGGCAGCAUACCGGCGCCCAACUGACGCUGAAGCACGAAAGCGUGGGUAUCGAACAGGAUUAGAUACCCCAGUAGUC
rnacentral:rRNA from 1 species